rnacentral:rRNA from 1 species
AAUCAACGCUGGCGGCGUGCCUCAGACAUGCAAGUCGAACGCGAAAGUUUCCUUCGGGAAGCGAGUAGAGUGGCGUCCGGGUGAGUAACACGUAGGUAAUCUACCUUUGGGUGGGGAAUAACAACCGGAAACGGUUGCUAAUACCGCAUAAUGCAGCGGCACCACAUGGUGACAGUUGUUAAAGCGGGGGAUCGCAAGACCUCGCGCCUAAAGAGGAGCCUGCGGCGGAUUAGCUAGNGGUAAGGUAACGGCUUACCAAGGCAACGAUCCGUAGCCGGCCUGAGAGGGCGGUCGGCCACACUGACACUGAAAUACGGGUCAGACUCCUACGGGAGGCAGCAGUCGGGAAUUUUGGGCAAUGGGCGAAAGCCUGACCCAGCAACGCCGCGUGAAGGAUGAAAUCCCUCGGGAUGUAAACUUCGCAAGAACAGGAAGAAUAAGUAGGGGACAAUACCCCCUAUGAUGACGGUACUGUUUGUAAGCUCCGGCUAACUCCGUGCCAGCCGCCGCCGU